CACGUAGGGUGCGAGCGUUGUCCGGAAUUAUUGGGCGUAAAGAGCUCGUAGGCGGUUGGGCAAGUCACGUGUGAAAUCUCCACGCUCAACGUGGAGGCGCCACGUGAGACUGCCCUGACUCGAGUCCGGUAGGGGAGCGUGGAAUUCCCGGUGUAGCGGUGAAAUGCGCAGAGAUCGGGAGGAACACCCGUAGCGAAGGCGGCGCUCUGGGCCGGUACUGACGCUGAGGAGCGAAAGCGUGGGGAGCAAACAGG
rnacentral:rRNA from 1 species